AAGAGUAUAGUUUAAUGGUAAAAUAGGAAGCUUNAAACUUCAAAUUUCCAGUUCAAGUCUGGAUGCUCUUG